UUGACCAAAAGUUAAUCUCCGGUGCGUGGAUGAGGUAAAGGGUUGUGGGCCAUUGGAUGCAAAGAUAGAAGUCAUCUGAGGCGUCGUUUCUUUCUCCCACAAAAACCCUAGGUGGCCACCCCUUUUUUUUUCUUCACCCCCCUCUUGGCUGCCACCCCCUUUUUCUCCCCCUUGGCUGGACGCCCCCUCCCCCUAUGGCAGCCAUCCUCCAUUGCUUCCUCCCCCAAGAUCUCCUCCUACGCAACAAGGAUCGAGAAAAGGAGGGGCACGUUGAAUUGAAGAGGAAGAGAGGAUCAAGGAGAUGUUCUUCCCCAUCUCCUCUUGAAGAUUUCUUGGGGAAACCCUAGGUAUGGAUGAGAUCCUUGUUCCUCCCUGUAAUUAUAGGCUUUUGGAGGUUGUAGAUCAUGGGAAUUAAAGGAUUAGAGGUUGGAUUUGAUGUGGGGUUAGGUUUUGAUCUCGAAUUUAGUUUUCUGCAGAAUGGCAGAUUCGACAGUUUCUGUUCAUGCCAGUUUUCCGUGGUCUUAGUGGCCUCAAAAAAAUAAAAAGUCUAUGUAUGAGUCGUAGAUAAUUUGUAGAUCUUUCCGUGGCCGUGAAGAACACCUCAAUCGGAGAUCCGACCAGAGAGUUAUUGCAGUUUUACUAUAGCAGUUUUUCAGUCUCAUAAUUCUGUGCAGAAUCUGUUCUCUUAAGAUUUAGGCAAUUUUAUCAACAGAAUUAAACUGUGGGUUGGUAAAAGAAGUUGUAGAUAAUUUUAUAAGCUUUCCAGAUUGUUAAAGAGUGCAUUCAUAUGAUUUGUGAAACUCCAGUUAUGUUUGUUUUACUGUGGCUGUUCCUGUUUACCUGACAAAAAUGAGUGGGUCUGUUCACUGGUGGGUUUCAUCUAGUAAAUGGCCGAAUUGGCUCUUCCAACUAUGGAGACUUUUGUAGAGGGAUAAAAGUUCUUACUUCCAGCAGAAUUUCAUAAUUUUUGGUUCAGCAGUUUUGGAGAUAUCGAAUUUUAAAGUUAACCAUACUGCUGUCUAAAACAGAUUCAGUCAGGUAUCUUGUCAGAUGUUUUAGAACUUGUAGAUGGCAGAAUUUAAUUAUCUAUUGAAUACUGAAGUUGUAGAGUAUUUUGUGUAGAUACUCCUAGAGUAUUUGUUUGAUAUCACCGCUGUUUCAAUUUUAAAGAUACAAAAUUAACAAACAGCGUUGCUGCUGUAUGGCAUGUGGUUCAGGGUGGGAGUCUUUCCACUGGGUCUUGGUUUCAAGUGUAGGAGUGUUUUGUUGAUUGAUGGCAAAUGUUUGUGAAAUAUUUGUACUAAGUUUUAUGCCCACUAGCAGGUGGCUACACUCCAGAUCAUGUCUAGUACAUUUCUUCUUCUUCGAUGAAGGCAAGUGAAUGUAGCGGUGGUUGCUUCCGUUCUGACCUGUUAUUUCUAUCGCCUACACUCUAAUAUUCAGAAGUAUCAUAUUCUUUCAUAAUUGGACUCUAUGGUGAUGCUUUACUUGCUUGAAUUAUACUCAUGCUCAAUCAUAUAUUGAUGAUGAUUAUGAUUUGAGUAUGACUCAUGAGAUUAAUUCACACCCCUGAAGGUAAAUGAAGUAUUAUUUGAGGUUGGUAUUGUAUCUGAAGGUAAAUGAAGUAUUAUUUGAGGUUUGUGUUGUAUCUGAAGGAAGUGAAGUUUAUUGACAAAUGUAGCAUGCCAUAUACAUUGCAUGACUCAUUUGCAUAUGAAGUUUUGUCGUGACCUAUGGUCCGACCGUACCGGUACAACUUAGCAUCGUACGUUGCCCGAGAAGGGGUACGAUGCGGCUUCAUACCCUUAGAGGUAUGAAGGCAGAGGACAUAUGCAUUGCAUUCAUAUGCAUUCAUUGAAGUGAUAUUUGCAGAUGAUGUGGUUUUAUACCCCAGAGGUAUGAAGAUAGAGUACCUACACAUUGCAUUCCUAUGCAUACAUUGAAGUGAUAUUUGCAGGUAUUGUUGACGCAGGGAAGUGUUAUAGAACCUAUUGUGGUUGUUCGAGGAAAUGAGAUGGUAUUGGUUAUAGUGGGACUACUGAGUUCUAUAUCUACAAGCAUUUCUGAUUUUUAAUUGUGACUCUUUUAAAAUGUUGAUGAAUUCAAUUUGUGGUUUAAAUAUCUCGUCAGAACAAUUAGCUUGCUGAGAUGUUUCAUCUCACUCUUGCAUUACUCAAUGCAGGUGCUUGUUGCUCAUCAAGGGGAGUGGGAAGUAGCAGCACAUCCACCUUCAUUCUCAUAAUAAUGCUGCCCAGACGCAGCCAUGAUUUAAUUAGAAACUUCUUGUCAAAGGAUGUUUGUUUUUAACUAGUCGUGCGCACUGAUUAAUUCAGUUCAUGUUGUUAUGGUUGUCUUCCCAUUGCUAGCAGAUUAUUAAUGUCUUAUAUGUUUUCUUAUCAUGAUAUCUAUUUAUACUUUGUUGCUUCCCCCGUUUAUGCAAUUUUCAAAGGAGAUGCUGUCGAAAUUUUAUAUAUGAAUAUUAGAUGUGUAGUUUAGUAGCAUUCUGGGGUGUUUGUGGAUCCCGGGGUGUUACAGUUGGUAUCAGAGGAUAGGCUUUAGAUUCUUGGCAAUUUGAAGAUAAAUUUGACACACUUGCACAUAUAGGAAGGGUAUGGGUUCAAAUAUCUUUGAUAUAUAUUAAUGUCUUUGGAGUGCAGAUGACAAUAGUUUCACCCCUCCCUAUUCCUUUACGGUGAUGUGGUAAGUUGUUUAUGGCUUAAUGCUUGAUAUAAUUUAUUGCUGAAAUUUUGAUAUUGUUUUAUUAAUGCGGUAGAUAUCGCUGGUCAUUGGUGAGAAUGAAGUUGUUAUUAUGCUUGUGAUAUACAAGUAUGCCUAUGUUGUUUUCACCAUGUUUUUCAUGGUUGAGUUUUAUUACAAUAAUAUUGUUAUAUAUGCUUGAUUGUGGAUGUUUCUAAGAGGAGUGUGAAUUGCGUGUUUUGGGGUACAAGGUAAUCAUCAAUUUGAAUUUAAGUUGUUGAGCGGUUGGUGGAUAGCUCUAACUAUCAUUGCAAAGAAUGAUUGUUUAUGUUGAGAAACCAGUUUUGAAAGAAAUGAAUAUUGGUACUUUAUAUGGAUUUUUGGGGGAAGUCUUUUCAUAGCCAGAAUGGCUUACAUGUCUCUCUCAUAUUGUGUGUUUUAGUUGCCACAAAGCCUAGAUGUGGUUUAAAGUGGUUGCCUGUUAGUCAUACUAAUUGUAGAAUAAAUCUUUGAUUCUCUUGAUCCAUUGAUUAUGUAUUGAUACAUUGAGGAUCUGAUGGUUCCCUUUUCGAUGCAUGCUUGUGGAGCCAUUUUUUUAGACCACCUAUCUAUUGGUUUGAAGGAAGUUCUUGCCUAGCCUAGAGUUGGUUGGGUGUGGCUAGUCACCUAUUCCUAGAUCAUGUGGUGUUUACAUCAGCUUAAUAUGUUUGUCAAAUGUGUGAAGGAUUAGGGGUUAUUAUUAUUGACUUUGUAUGUCUGGUACUUUGAGUGCAUCGUAUGAUAGAAUGAAAUGUAAGUUUCUGAACUACAGUAGAUGAAGACUUAUAUUAUGUGUAGGUUAUCCUUACUAGUUGGAUAUUUUUCUUAGUUGAGAUGUUGAAUGAAGUAUAGUGACAUGGGUUAAGCAAGUAUUGUGUUGUUGUUGGGCUAUCAGUGCUCUAUGUAGAGUUUUUGGCAUUUCUUCGAUGAACUAUGCCACACAAGAUGUUAUUGGCUUCUUUUGGCUUUAUUGCUCCAUUAGUUCUAUAGAUUUUCUCCCUUUUGGUGGGGUGCAAGGAAUGUUAGAUUACAUGAUUAUCUUUUCAUGAUGGCAAGAAUAAGGUUUAGGAAGAUUAGGAGUUUUGUUCCAAUAGAACUACUUGUUUCAUAGUGCUUUAAGGUGAGGUGUUUGAUCUUCUUAUACAUUCGUCGGGUGUAGAUGUUUCACCAUUUAAUUAAAAUUAAUGGUUGAAGUUGGUAAGGGUUGUGCUUGGUGCAUAUUACCCCUUCAUAAAAGAGUGUUGUCUUAAGACAUUGAUGUUGAUGUAUAGCUGCAUCCAAAUUUGAUGGUGUGAAAUUGGAGUGUUGAUUGCAACUAUGACAUGCUUUGAGCUUCAUUACAUGUUGUUUCAUGCUUGAUGUCAGGUCGUGUAGUUUCCUUAGACAAUUAGUCCAAGGUAGAAGUUCUUGUGUUAAUUAAGACCAAUAAUGGACCCAUGUUUUGAAUUGUGGUGCUAUAUGGGGUACCUUGGGUGUUUUGCUUGGAGUGGCCGAAUUCGAGGUCGAAUUCUUUUUAAGCGGGGUAGAGUGUAAUAUCCCAAAAAAAUGUUGACCAAAAGUUAAUCUCCGGUGCGUGGAUGAGGUAAAGGGUUGUGGGCCAUUGGAUGCAAAGAUAGAAGUCAUCUGAGGCGUCGUUUCUUUCUCCCACAAAAACCCUAGGUGGCCACCCCUUUUUUUUUCUUCACCCCCCUCUUGGCUGCCACCCCCUUUUUCUCCCCCUUGGCUGGACGCCCCCUCCCCCUAUGGCAGCCAUCCUCCAUUGCUUCCUCCCCCAAGAUCUCCUCCUACGCAGCAAGGAUCGAGAAAAGGAGGGGCACGUUGAAUUGAAGAGGAAGAGAGGAUCAAGGAGAUGUUCUUCCCCAUCUCCUCUUGAAGAUUUCUUGGGGAAACCCUAGGUAUGGAUGAGAUCCUUGUUCCUCCCUGUAAUUAUAGGCUUUUGGAGGUUGUAGAUCAUGGGAAUUAAAGGAUUAGAGGUUGGAUUGGAUGUGGGGUUAGGUUUUGAUCUCGAAUUUAGUUUUCUGCAGAAUGGCAGAUUCGACAGUUUCUGUUCAUGCCAGUUUUCCGUGGUCUUAGUGGCCUCAAAAAAAUAAAAAGUCUAUGUAUGAGUCGUAGAUAAUUUGUAGAUCUUUCCGUGGCCGUGAAGAACACCUCAAUCGGAGAUCCGACCAGAGAGUUAUUGCAGUUUUACUAUAGCAGUUUUUCAGUCUCAUAAUUCUGUGCAGAAUCUGUUCUCUUAAGAUUUAGGCAAUUUUAUCAACAGAAUUAAACUGUGGGUUGGUAAAAGAAGUUGUAGAUAAUUUUAUAAGCUUUCCAGAUUGUUAAAGAGUGCAUUCAUAUGAUUUGUGAAACUCCAGUUAUGUUUGUUUUACUGUGGCUGUUCCUGUUUACCUGACAAAAAUGAGUGGGUCUGUUCACUGGUGGGUUUCAUCUAGUAAAUGGCCGAAUUGGCUCUUCCAACUAUGGAGACUUUUGUAGAGGGAUAAAAGUUCUUACUUCCAGCAGAAUUUCAUAAUUUUUGGUUCAGCAGUUUUGGAGAUAUCGAAUUUUAAAGUUAACCAUACUGCUGUCUAAAACAGAUUCAGUCAGGUAUCUUGUCAGAUGUUUUAGAACUUGUAGACGGCAGAAUUUAAUUAUCUAUUGAAUACUGAAGUUGUAGAGUAUUUUGUGUAGAUACUCCUAGAGUAUUUGUUUGAUAUCACCGCUGUUUCAAUUUUAAAGAUACAAAAUUAACAAACAGCGUUGCUGCUGUAUGGCAUGUGGUUCAGGGUGGGAGUCUUUCCACUGGGUCUUGGUUUCAAGUGUAGGAGUGUUUUGUUGAUUGAUGGCAAAUGUUUGUGAAAUAUUUGUAUUAAGUUUUAUGCCCACUAGCAGGUGGCUACACUCCAGAUCAUGUCUAGUACAUUUCUUCUUCUUCGAUGAAGGCAAGUGAAUGUAGCGGUGGUUGCUUCCGUUCUGACCUGUUAUUUCUAUCGCCUACACUCUAAUAUUCAGAAGUAUCAGAUUCUUUCAUAAUUGGACUCUAUGGUGAUGCUUUACUUGCUUGAAUUAUACUGAUGCUCAAUCAUAUAUUGAUGAUGAUUAUGAUUUGAGUAUGACUCAUGAGAUUAAUUCACACCCCUGAAGGUAAAUGAAGUAUUAUUUGAGGUUGGUAUUGUAUCUGAAGGUAAAUGAAGUAUUAUUUGAGGUUUGUGUUGUAUCUGAAGGAAGUGAAGUUUAUUGAUAAAUGUAGCAUGCCAUAUACAUUGCAUGACUCAUUUGCAUAUGAAGUUUUGUCGUGACCUAUGGUCCGACCGUACCGGUACAACUUAGCAUCGUACGUUGCCCGAGAAGGGGUACGAUGCGGCUUCAUACCCUUAGAGGUAUGAAGGCAGAGGACAUAUGCAUUGCAUUCAUAUGCAUUCAUUGAAGUGAUAUUUGCAGAUGAUGUGGUUUUAUACCCCAGAGGUAUGAAGAUAGAGUACCUACACAUUGCAUUCCUAUGCAUACAUUGAAGUGAUAUUUGCAGGUAUUGUUGACGCAGGGAAGUGUUAUAGAACCUAUUGUGGUUGUUCGAGGAAAUGAGAUGGUAUUGGUUAUAGUGGGACUACUGAGUUCUAUAUCUACAAGCAUUUCUGAUUUUUAAUUGUGACUCUUUUAAAAUGUUGAUGAAUUCAAUUUGUGGUUUAAAUAUCUCG
rnacentral:lncRNA from 1 species